rnacentral:rRNA from 2 species
GGUCACCACGGUAGGAUUCAUGACUGGGGUGAAGUCGUAACAAGGUAGCCGUAUCGGAAGGUGCGGCUGGAUCACCUCCUUUCCAG